rnacentral:lncRNA from 1 species
GGCCCAAAAUCUUCCUUCUUAUUUAUUCACUUAUAUAUGUUCCCAAACAUAUUAUAAUAGAUCCAACAACAAGCCAAAGUCCCAGGUUUCUUAAUGGACAAAAGUACAAGCAAUUCAUCAAUAAUGAAGGUGCUACAAAAAUUGGAAUCUGCCCCAAAAUAGAAAUCCAACCCAAGAGACUUUUUCUCUCUCUCCCUCUUCCGCCUCCUUUCAUCUAUCAAAUUUCUGCAACCUCUGCUCUUCUCCAAUGGAGCUGAAUUUUGGACACCCUAUAGUUUUUGAGCAUAUGAACAACUUUCAAGAAGGAACCAUUUCUGUUUGAGCGACGGAAAUUAAAGUGUUGAAGCUCCAAGCAUGACAGUCGGAUUCUUGCAGAUUUCGAAGCUGCUGUGAUGUUUCGAAGAUCUGGAAAUAUUUAACCAUUAGUUCAUUCUGAAUUUUUGAUAUGUUAUGAAAGAGACGAUGAGGAACAACUUCAAUGAAGAAAGCAUGCUGAUCUGAACAAUAGAAAAUGGAGUUUCGAAGCUCACAACAAAUCUGACGGGUUGACAGAAAAAUCAUAACCAGUCAUUCAUCAUACCUGGAUUUCUGGAGUUAUACUGCUCCGAGGGAUCUCAAAUUUGGAUAUGUUGUAGUUCACGAGCUGAGGAACAACUUCAAUGAAGAAAGCAUACCGAUCUGAACAAGAGAAAAUGGAGUUUCGAAGCUCACAACAAAUCUGACGGGUUGACAGAAAAAUAAUAACCAGUCACUCAUCAUACCUGGAUUUCUGGAGUUAUACUGCUCCGAGGGACCUCAAAUUUGGAUAUGUUGUAGUUCACAAGUUAAGGAACAACUUCGAUGAAGAAAGUAU